rnacentral:rRNA from 1 species
AAGGCGAGCACUCUAGACGGAACUGCCGUGACAAACGGAGGAAGGUGGGGGAUGACGUCAAAUCAUCAUGCCCCUUAUGUUCUGGGCUACACACGUGCUACAAUGGCCGGUACAGACGGACGCAAAGCCGCGAGGUGGAGCAAAUCCUAAAAAGCCGGUCUCAGUUCGGAUUGCAGGCUGCAACUCGACUUCAUGAAGGCGGAAUCGCUAGUAAUCGCGGGUCAGCAGACCGCGGUGAAUACGUUCCCGGGUUUU